GGUAUCCUGUCUGAAUAUGGGGGGACCAUCCUCCAAGGCUAAAUACUCCUGACUGACCGAUAGUGAACCAGUACCGUGAGGGAAAGGCGAAAAGAACCCCGGCGAGGGGAGUGAAAAAGAACCUGAAACCGUGUACGUACAAGCAGUGGGAGCCUCUUAAUGGGGUGACUGCGUACCUUUUGUAUAAUGGGUCAGCGACUUAUAUUCUGUAGCAAGGUUAACCGAAUAGGGGAGCCGAAGGGAAACCGAGUCUUAACUGGGCGUUAAGUUGCAGGGUAUAGACCCGAAACCCGGUGAUCUAGCCAUGGGCAGGUUGAAGGUUGGGUAACACUAACUGGAGGACCGAACCGACUAAUGUUGAAAAAUUAGCGGAUGACUUGUGGCUGGGGGUGAAAGGCCAAUCAAACCGGGAGAUAGCUGGUUCUCCCCGAAAGCUAUUUAGGUAGCGCCUCGUGAAUUCAUCUCCGGGGGUAGAGCACUGUUUCGGCAAGGGGGUCAUCCCGACUUACCAACCCGAUGCAAACUGCGAAUACCGGAGAAUGUUAUCACGGGAGACACACGGCGGGUGCUAACGUCCGUCGUGAAGAGGGAAACAACCCAGACCGCCAGCUAAGGUCCCAAAGUCAUGGUUAAGUGGGAAACGAUGUGGGAAGGCCCAGACAGCCAGGAUGUUGGCUUAGAAGCAGCCAUCAUUUAAAGAAAGCGUAAUAGCUCACUGGUCGAGUCGGCCUGCGCGGAAGAUGUAACGGGGCUAAACCAUGCACCGAAGCUGCGGCAGCGACACUAUGUGUUGUUGGGUAGGGGAGCG
rnacentral:rRNA from 1 species